rnacentral:rRNA from 1 species
UACGUAGGGGGCAAGCGUUGUCCGGAUUUAUUGGGCGUAAAGAGCGUGUAGGCGGCCAUACAGGUCAGCUGUGAAAACUCGAGGCUCAACCUCGAGACGUCGGUUGAAACCGUAUGCUAGAGUCCGGAAGAGGAGAGUGGAAUUCCUGGUGUAGCGGUGAAAUGCGCAGAUAUCAGGAGGAACACCCGGUGGCGAAGGCGGGACUCUGGGCCGAUACUGACGCUGAGGAGCGAAAGCGUGGGGGAGCGAACAGG